UGUUGGUUUAAUUCGACGCUACGCGAAGAACCUUACCUGGGCUUGACAUGCUUGAGAAAGGACCAAGAAACUGGUCCCCCCAUGACCGCAAGGUCAUGGCUCAUCCACAGGUGCUGCAUGGUUGUCGUCAGCUCGUGUCGUGAGAUGUAAGGUUAAGUCCUUGAACGAGCGCAACCCCUUUCGUCAGUUGCAAACCAGCAAUGGCGCACCCUGACGAUACUGCCAGCUAAAAGUUGGAGGAAGGAGGGGAUGACGUCAAAUCCUCAUGGCCUUUAUGUCCAGGGCUACACACAUGCGACAAUGGUCGGUACAACGAGUCGCAACACCGCGAGGUGAAGCCAAUCCCUAAAACCGACCUCAGUUCAGAUUGCAGACUGCAAUUCGUCUACAUGAAGUUGGAAUCGCUAGUAAUCGCGGAUCAGCACGCCGCGGUGAAUACGUUCCCGGGCCUU
rnacentral:rRNA from 1 species